rnacentral:rRNA from 1 species
GCUUGUUGGUGAGGUAAUGGCUCACCAAGGCGACGACGGGUAGCCGGCCUGAGAGGGUGACCGGCCACACUGGGACUGAGACACGGCCCAGACUCCUACGGGAGGCAGCAGUGGGGAAUAUUGCACAAUGGGCGAAAGCCUGAUGCAGCGACGCCGCGUGAGGGAUGACGGCCUUCGGGUUGUAAACCUCUUUCAGUAGGGAACAAGGCCAGCAUUUUUGUUGGUUGAGGGUACUUGCAGAAGAAGCGCCGGCUAACUACGUGCCAGCAGCCGCGGUAAUACAUAGGGCGCAAGCGUUAUCCGGAAUUAUUGGGCGUAAAGAGCUCGUAGGCGGUUUGUCGCGUCUGCCGUGAAAGUCCGGGGCUCAACCCCGGAUCUGCGGUGGGUACGGGCAGACUAGAGUGAUGUAGGGGAGACUGGAAUUCCUGGUGUAGCGGUGAAAUGCGCAGAUAUCAGGAGGAACACCGAUGGCGAAGGCAGGUCUCUGGGCAUUAACUGACGCUGAGGAGCGAAAGCAUGGGGAGCGAACAGGAUUAGAUACCCUGGUAGUCCAUGCCGUAAACGUUGGGCACUAGGUGUGGGGGACAUUCCACGUUUUCCGCGCCGUAGCUAACGCAUUAAGUGCCCCGCCUGGGGAGUACGGCCGCAAGGCUAAAACUCAAAGGAAUUGACGGGGGCCCGCACAAGCGGCGGAGCAUGCGGAUUAAUUCGAUGCAACGCGAAGAACCUUACCAAGGCUUGACAUGAACCGGAAAGGCCUGGAAACAGGUCCCCCGCUUGCGGUCGGUUUACAGGUGGUGCAUGGUUGUCGUCAGCUCGUGUCGUGAGAUGUUGGGUUAAGUCCCGCAACGAGCGCAACCCUCGUUCUAUGUUGCCAGCACGUGAUGGUGGGGACUCAUAGGAGACUGCCGGGGUCAACUCGGAGGAAGGUGAGGACGACGUCAAAUCAUCAUGCCCCUUAUGUCUUGGGCUUCACGCAUGCUACAAUGGCCGGUACAAUGGGUUGCGAUACUGUGAGGUGGAGCUAAUC